ensembl:lncRNA GFOD3P Gfo/Idh/MocA-like oxidoreductase domain containing 3, pseudogene
UGCCUACUUAGGGAGUAAACCCUGUGAAGUCUCGCAGUUUUGUUAAAGUGUGCGUGGCCACCUGAAUGCUGCCUUAUCACAAGCCAGAUACAUACUGGUCUGUAGGGUAACUCCCCACUGUUGAUCCUCUGAGAUGAUUGUGGACUGGGUGCUGUGAGUCCUGCCACUUUGUUUAAGUGAAUGUGUCUUUUGUCCAGCUCAGCCGCCUCGGAUCUCGCUGCCACCAGCCUUACUGCACACCCGUGCCACCCGCCCUUGCCCCGUCAGCCUCAGCCUCAGCUCAUUCUCUCAGGCAGUCCCAGCAUUGGCACGGUACCUCCUCCCGCUGUGGGCCACACGUCUCUGCUCCCUGUCAACCCUCCUGCCAUCAGCACCACCACCAGCGACUUGUCUGCCCGGGAGGAUGCAACACCAUCUGCCUCCACCGGCCACCUUUCAGUGUUUCCUGCUUUCCAAGUAAAGAUACCAGCAGUGCCCUCAGAGCAGACCAGCCAGAGUUUUUCUGAAGCCUCCCACAGGGUGCUCCCCGGAGGAGGCCCGAGAUGCUCUCGUGACUUUGGAGCCGGGGUGGCUGGCCACCUUGGCCUGGGCAUCUUUGGGGUGGGCUUCGGGAGCCCGGCACUGCUGCAGAGUGUGGUGGAUGAGAACAGCUGCUGCUUGCUGUACGUGGUGGAGGACCAGCUGUGUGAUGUGGAGCAAGCCUUCAGAGCUGAGCAUUUGGGCCAACACCAGAGUGGUUCGGGAACAGGAUGCAGACAUUGUCCUCAACGACCAGCGGCACUUUGAUCCGGUUUUCCAGUUCUUGCACAAGCAAGUUUGUGUCAGCCACGCCCUGGGGAGGAUCCACUGGAUCACCGCCGUCACUGCCUGUUCCCGGCGGCCUCUCCGGCUUCCCUAAAGAGAGCAGGUGGGACUUUCUACAACGCUGCUGUGCACGACGUGGAUGCCGUAUGCAUGUUGCUGGGGGAAGCCACUCCGGACACUGUGUUUUCUCUGGGACAUGUCUUCUGCCCAGAUAUGGCCGCCUUAAAAGAUGCAGAUGCUGUUGUGAUCAGCAUGAAGUUUCCCUGUGAGGCCGUGGUUAGCGUGGACAUCAGCCAGCACUGCACAGACAGCUGCGACCAGGACGUCAGCCAGCACUGCACAGACAGCUGCGACCAGAGACUGGAGGUGACCCUUGCCCUUUUCCACCCUUCGCCAGUCCACUGUGAAAAGCUGGGUUGAUUGUGCGGGUUAGAUAGAGGUCAUCAGCCGGGUUGAUUGUGUGGGUUAGACAGAGGUCAUCAGCCAGGUUGAUUGUGUGGGUUAGAUAGAGAUCAUCAGCCUGGUAGAUUGUGUGGGUUAGAUAGAGGUCAUCAGCCAGGUUGAUUGUGCGGGUUAGAUAGAGAUCAUCAGCCGGGUUGAUUCUACAGGUUAGAUAGAGGUCGUCAGCCGGGUUGAUUGUGCGGGUUAGAUAGAGAUCAUCAGCCGGGUUGAUUGUGCGGGUUAGAUAGAGGUCAUCAGCUGGGUUGAUUGUGUGGGUUAGAUAGAGAUCAUCAGCUGGGUUGAUUGUGUGGGUUAGAUAGAGGUCGUCAGCUGGGUUGAUUGUGCGGGUUAGAUAGAGGUCAUCAGCCGGGUUGAUUCUACAGGUUAGAUAGAGGUCAUCAGCUGGGUUGAUUGUGCGGGUUAGAGAUCAUCAGCCGGGUUGAUUGUGCGGGUUAGAUAGAGGUCAUCAGCCGGGUUGAUUGUGCGGGUUAGAUAGAGAUCAUCAGCUGGGUUGAUUCUGCAGGUUAGAUAGAGGUCGUUAGCUGGGUGUGUGGGUCCCAAGGCGUGCUGCAGAUGGAGAAUCAGAAUUCCUUGGGCAUCACCGGGCGGGGCAUGUCCCUGUCCCUUCGCUCCCAGACCCAGGCUAGCCGCUACCAGGACUCCUAUCGAGAGCUCUUCAGACACUUUGUCAGAACCCUUAAAGGUGGGUGACGUUUUCAGGAGGAACCUGGGAUGUCCUGAUGCUCAAUGGGUAGAUGCCUUCCAGGCUGCAGUCAGUGCAGAUGAUAUGCCAAUUUCAGGUGGAAAAUUGCAUUCCAGAUACCGGGUUCAGAUUUGAAAUUGUCCAUCUCAGUGAUCAUUUACGUUGCGUGUACUUGAGGGAGAUUCUGAGAGAUGCUCCUUUGGGGUUCUGUGCGUGUACCAUGUUGCCUGACACGUCCUGAGAAAUCUUCUUAAACUCUGAGUUUAUAAAAUAACUACUUCUGAACUCCUGAGAUCUAGUGGAUACCAUGUAUCCUGGAAGAUAGGACACUUUCUACCCUCUGUCAGUCCUGGGGGUGACUGGGAACCAGAGAGGUUGAGCAGAAUUCCUGGACCUGGGUGGGGCUUGUCCAAGAGGGGCAGGUGGGCCUCUCUAGGAUCAGUGUCCCACCCAGAGGCCAGUGGCCCCUUCACAUGCCCCAACAAGAGGAAGACUGUCUGGCUCCGCAGUGUUGGGUUUUGUCCUGAAUCUGUGCAAAUGUGCAGGGAAAUAACCUCCUGAAAUCACCAAAGAGCAGUUCCUCAGGGCCUUCCGGGUGACCGUGGCCGUGGAGCAGUCGUGGUGAAACCGGUCAGCUGUGGACCUGCCCUGCGAAUCGGCAGAGGCCUCCGUGGUGAAGACAGAAGCUCCGUGAACCAACUCGAGGCUGGAGCCAAGAUCCUGCCUGAUAUCCAGUUGCCUGUUUCACUUGUUACUGUUACUGGGAGAGGGAGACAAAACCUCAUGGCAAUCUUGUCCUCACUGGAGACUCAGAAGGGGAAGCAUUGGGAAACCAUAUGGAGUCUUGCCCUGUCACCCAGGCUGGAGUGCAAUGGUGCGAUCUCGGCUCACUGCAACCUCCGUCUCCCAGGUUCAAGCGAUUCUUCUGCCUCAGCCUUCUGAGUAGCUGGGAUUACACGCGUGUGCCACCACGCUCGGCUAAUUUUUGUAUUUUUAGUAGAGAUGGGAUUUCACCAUGUUGGCCAGGCUGGUCUCGAACUACUGACCUCGUGAUCCACCUGCCAUGGCCUCCCAAAGUGCUGGGAUUACAGGCGUGAGCCACCAUGCUCGGCCUAAAAAACAAUUUUCUUGAAGAAUCCGAUUUUGUGCAUAGUAAUGACAC